GAAGUGCGAUAAGCAGUGCGAAUUGCAGAACCGUGAGUCAUCAGAUUUUUGAACGCAACUGGCGCCGUACGGGGUCACCCGUCGGCACGCCUGGUCCAGUGUCUUGUUCUCUCCUCACCAAAAUCCUAAUGCGAUAGAUGCCCUUCUAUUGCUAAACAUGAAAGCACUCUGCGCUCUGCGAGUGACUUCGGUCACACUCAAUGCAGCAGUCACACCUAGUGUGAACUCAUUGAGAGUAGAGGCAGUGCAGCAAUAGCUGCCAGUGCUUAGCUACACCAACUUAGGUACAGUAUCUGGGCUCAGGCGGGACCACCCGCUGAACUUAA
rnacentral:misc_RNA from 1 species